rnacentral:rRNA from 1 species
AGAGUUUGAUCCUGGCUCAGGAUGAACGCUGGCGGCGUGCCUAAUACAUGCAAGUCGAACGGGGAGUACUUACUUCGGUUUUUACUCCUAGUGGCGAACGGGUGAGUAACGCGUUGGUGACCUGCCCCGAAGCGGGGGAUAACAGUUCGAAAGGACUGCUAAUACCCCAUGUGGUCGUACUGGUUAGAGGCUGUACGACUAAAGGAGUAAUCCACUUCGGGAGGGGCCUGCGUCCCAUCAGCUAGUUGGUAAGGUAACGGCCUACCAAGGCGAUGACGGGUAGGGGACCUGAGAGGGUGGUCCCCCACACUGGCACUGAAACACGGGCCAGACACCUACGGGUGGCAGCAGUAGGGAAUAUUGCACAAUGGGCGAAAGCCUGAUGCAGCAACGCCGCGUGCGCGAAGAAGGCCUUCGGGUUGUAAAGCGCUUUUCUGGAGGAAGAGAAAGGACGGUACUCCAGGAAUAAGGAUCGGCUAACUACGUGCCAGCAGCCGCGGUAACACGUAGGAUCCGAGCGUUAUCCGAAUUUACUGGGCGUAAAGCGCGUGUAGGCGGUCGGGUAAGUUGGACGUGAAAGCUCCUGGCUCAACUAGGAGAGGUCGUUCAAAACUGCCUGGCUAGAGGGCGACAGAGGGAGGUGGAAUUCCCGGUGUAGUGGUGAAAUGCGUAGAUAUCGGGAGGAACACCAGUGGCGAAGGCGGCCUCCUGGGUCGCCCCUGACGCUCAGACGCGAAAGCUAGGGGAGCAAACAGGCUUAGAUACCCUGGUAGUCCACGCUGUAAACUAUGGACACUAGGUAUAGGGAGUAUCGACCCUCUCUGUGCCGAAGUUAACGCGUUAAGUGUCC